rnacentral:lncRNA from 1 species
UCGCUAUCAAAGAGGUAUUAAAUAGAAUAUUAGAUCUUAAAAUAUGAUAUUCCACCAAAUAAACCAUAAAGCAUAAACUACAAGAUGUAAUCAACACUACUAGUUAGACCCCAGGUACCAAUCAGAUGUUCCAAUACAAGAUUGAGAACAAGAGAUGAACUAGGCUUAUGAGAGGAGAUGGUGGUGAUGAAGAUGUUCAUGAGGACUGGCCUCCCCUAGAUGAGAGGGUUGUUGGUGAUGACGAUGUAUUUAAUUUCCCCUCAGGGAGGGAAGUUCCUCCGAUGGAAUCGCUCUGCCGGAGGGCAAAAGUGCUUGUGCGCAGGUUCCGCCUUGAGACGGCAGCGCCUCGUCCUGAAAGUACGCUCCUGAUUUUUCUCAGGUUAAAAGAGAAUUUAUAGUAGAAUAUGGAUGCUAGAGGUGGGCAAGGGGUCCCACUAACCACCAGGUAGCCCCUCUCUGGUACUUCUUUGCUCCAGUAUUUUUUUUAUUCCAAAAUAAAUUUCCGUAAAGUUCCAGCCCAUUUGGAGAUGUCAGAAUAUGUAUCUUUGGUGUAGCUUUUUCAGGUCCAGAAUUCCAUCUGCCUGCAUUCUCCCUCUUGAUGUAAACCUUGCAUAUUAUGAGAUAAAAGGUAUUAGAAUUAUUCCCCCAAGUGAUAAAUGCGUGAAAACAAUAUAUUUAACAAUAACAAAACAUGAUGCAAAAUGAACGUAUGAAAUAGCUAUGAUGCAAAACCUAUAUUGCAAACUAUUUACACAAUUUAACACAGGGCAACAUGCUCUAUAAUCUAGACUAUCCCGCCAGCACAAAGUAUGUGUAGAUGCUUAGCAAUCAUCAUGCUAACACAACUACUUGAUAACAGUUUUCAGAUUUAGUCAUAUUUCAUACCACCAAAUAAGCACAUUGACAUAGCAUGUUGACAACAAGAAUCCUACAAGUAGACAUGGUUUUCAUAGCAAGUAUAAAUACCAGGGCCUAUUACCCCCAAUACAGUCCAACUUUGAUGUUGACUAGAUUACCAAAGGGUGCAAGGAAUGCUUCAUAUAAAAUUAACAAAAUGGCAUCGUGAUGAAAACUAACAUGUACACGAACUUGCUCAAAAGACAAAACUAAUUCCAUAGAUGGAUUCCUUGGAUAUUCUACCCCAAAUUCAUAUAUAAUAAGCCUAUGUUUCGGUACAAUAACACACAAUAGACUACAUACAAAAAUAUAAUCAACUAGAUAUAACCUAGUAUAUGCCAAAUAUGGCAUAUAUCCAAUUUCGACUUUGCGAGAUUAGGAAAUAGCCAGAACUGGACUUUCCCUAAAUGGCAUAAACUCAAACUCUAUGAGAUAAAUAAAACAAAAACAAACAUAACACUAUCAGUGUCACUAAUGGCCUCUGGGUGGAUGACAGGUGGAUCGAACUCGGGUCUCCCUGAACAGAGAGAGGGGGCGCAACCACUCGGAUACGAAGGGGUUUCGAACCUGGAUGUCCUUGAGCUCCUUUGAGCUAGCCCCCACCAAAGGCCAGGUCAUCCACUCUGAAACAGAGAGAAACGGCGACGAUGCCAGCGAGUACCCCGACGUCAUUCGGAGCAGGCUACCGACGGCGGGGCUGUGGGAUCGCACACGGGUACAGUUUCCGUGGCAAGGACUGCUGCGAGACGAGCAACGGGGGGCCUCAUGCUCGGGUGAAAGCUCGUCUCGGUGCAUGUGUGGGGAUGAGGGGAGCACUGCGAGACUUGUGGUGAGGCGACGAUAGCGUGCGUGGGGUGUGUAGAAUGUGUGGCUGGGGCGCUACAACGAUACAGAUGCGCUCGGAGGACUACGGGAGGCAAGGCGACGAGCUUCUGAAUGCUGCCAUGUUCAACCAUGGCGGACUCGGCCUUGAAUGCGUUGAAUAUCGCCAGCUACGACACGAAUCGAACCGGGGAGAUGCUGUUGGGAUGGACUACUAACCGAGGUCCCUUAGGACAUGGGGAUGAGGUAGGGAAGGCGUGCGUAUAGUCGGGGUAGAAAGAGGCUGCCGCGGCGAGCUCCUGGUGUGCGAUGGUGGUGAUGACGGGGCCGACGUCGUGGAGGCGAUCUCCACCUCCUAGAUCCACGAAUGGGUCGAGGAAGGCGGCAAUGUGUGGUGGGACAUCAUGGGGAGGGGAGGAAGUCGGCCGCAGGUUACGACGGAGAUGAUGGCAACGACACUGCUUCUGAACCUUCUGAAAUCUCACUCGCCUCGUUGUCCGUGAAGCUCACGGCGCGACCGGCUACCUCUCUCUGACUCACUAGAAGAUGAGGAUGUCACGGGGAGGACGUCGCCGUGAGAGGGGAGAGAUGGG